rnacentral:lncRNA from 1 species
CCAAACGAGCCAUCGGUGCCAGCCGGUUUUGUUAUUUGGGGCUCGCUGGCAGGGUAAACCGGGAUUAGCCCAGGAACAUUCGCAUUACUGCACCCCGCUUUGCGCGUACGCUCAGCGAAUAAUGGCUACCAUGGCUAUGCCGGUGAUGAGCGCCGCGGCCAUCGCGCCCCGAUCAUCCGUCCGCGCAAAGGUUGCGAUCCGCGGCGUGCGUGUUGUCGGUGCUAGGCCCAUCGUGGCUCGGCCCGCCGCCGUUCGCGUCGCCGCGUCCGCCACCGUCGAGAAGAGUGACGACCUCGCUCUCGGCCAGGUGAGGAUCGCCCCGAUUGCCGUAUUUCGUCCCCUUUCGGAGCCGGCGUCGGACUCGCAUCCGAUGCGCGAUGCCACCACGAGGGUGGCGUCGGUCGCAUCAUAUGCGUGACACAUCGAACCAGUCGCUAGUCGAGCAACCCGGGCGCCGGGCGAGCGCAGGGCGCGGGUUCGACGCGCGAUUCGGCGAAGUUUUUUGGGCUCAGAUAGCCUCCGAAUCGGAUAUGCCGUCAAACCGUGACUUUUGCGUGGUGUCGUUCGAUCGACCGCUCGCGACCUUCGACUAACCCACGCGACACCCCCAAACUCUUCCCAUAUCUUGUGUAUAACAGACUGCCGCCCUCACCCUCGCGGGCGCUCUCUCCCUCGGAGCUCAGCAGGCGAACGCCGCCUCGACUGAAAUCUCCCAGCUGGCUUCCGUGGACAGCCGGGCGCUCGUUUUCCUGGUCAUCCUUGGACCUGCUCUGGGAUGGGUAGCGUUCAACAUCUUGCAGCCUGGCCUUAACCAGCUCAACAACAUGCAGGAGAAGAACGCCAAGCGCAAGGGUCUCGCUGCUGGUGUCGGCGGCCUUUCUGCCGCUGCCCUCAUGGGUAUGCCCGAGGCCGCUGACGCCGCCACCGAGGCCAUGCAGCUCGCUGACCUCGACGCCCGCAUUGCCAUCUUCGGUGCUUUCGUGCCCGUCCUUGGCUGGGUUGGCUACAACAUCCUUGGCCCUGGUCUCAAGCAGCUCGAGAAGAUGCAGCAGGACGCCGCUAAGAAGAAGGGUGUGGCUGCUGGUGUCGGCGGCCUUUCUGCCGCUGCCCUCAUGGGUAUGCCCGAGGCCGCUGACGCCGCCACCGAGGCCAUGCAGCUCGCUGACCUCGACGCCCGCAUUGCCAUCUUCGGUGCUUUCGUGCCCGUCCUUGGCUGGGUUGGCUACAACAUCCUUGGCCCUGGUCUCAAGCAGCUCGAGAAGAUGCAGCAGGACGCCGCUAAGAAGAAGGGUGUGGCUGCUGGUGUCGGCGGCCUUUCUGCCGCUGCCCUCAUGGGUAUGCCCGAGGCCGCUGACGCCGCCACCGAGGCCAUGCAGCUCGCUGACCUCGACGCCCGCAUUGCCAUCUUCGGUGCUUUCGUGCCCGUCCUUGGCUGGGUUGGCUACAACAUCCUUGGCCCUGGUCUCAAGCAGCUCGAGAAGAUGCAGCAGGACGCCGCUAAGAAGAAGGGUGUGGCUGCUGGUGUCGGCGGCCUUUCUGCCGCUGCCCUCAUGGGUAUGCCCGAGGCCGCUGACGCCGCCACCGAGGCCAUGCAGCUCGCUGACCUCGACGCCCGCAUUGCCAUCUUCGGUGCUUUCGUGCCCGUCCUUGGCUGGGUUGGCUACAACAUCCUUGGCCCUGGUCUCAAGCAGCUCGAGAAGAUGCAGCAGGACGCCGCUAAGAAGAAGGGUGUGGCUGCGGGUGUUGGCGGCCUUUCUGCCGCUGCCCUCAUGGGUAUGCCCGAGGCCGCUGACGCCGCCACCGAGGCCAUGCAGCUCGCUGACCUCGACGCCCGCAUUGCCAUCUUCGGUGCUUUCGUGCCCGUCCUUGGCUGGGUUGGCUACAACAUCCUUGGCCCUGGUCUCAAGCAGCUCGAGAAGAUGCAGCAGGACGCCGCUAAGAAGAAGGGUGUGGCUGCGGGUGUUGGCCUUUCUGCCGCUGCCCUCAUGGGUAUGCCCGAGGCCGCUGACGCCGCCACCGAGGCCAUGCAGCUCGCUGAC